rnacentral:tRNA from 1 species
AGGGGGAUAGCUUAGUGGUAGAGCGUGUGCUUAGCAUGCAUGAGGUCCUGGGUUCAAUCUGCAGUACCUCUA